GUGGGUAUAUCAAGAGUCAUUCCACAUCUCUUGACGAUCCUUUCAAUCCAUCUCAGUUCCAGAAGUGUCGUUUGCCUUCUCGGAUCAUAUCCAACACCCAGCUAAAGUGAUCCUCCUAUCUUAGGGUUCUUCAGUUGGUAUCAGAGCCACUUUGGCUGGUUUGUUUUCUUUCAUCUUUCAUCUUCUCAUCUCUCCACGUUUUUCUUUUCUUAUUUCUUGGAUCUGGGCUGUUCCUUUACUCCCUUGUGAUCGCCUAUUAUUAAAAAAAAAAUCGAUAAAAUAAAAAAAGUUUUGGCUUGAAUCACUUCUGAAGAGAAAUCCAGGGAGAGUGGUGGAAGAGAAACCCUGCUGGCUGAAGAGAAACCCAGCCUUAGGACAGUUAAAGCGGAUCCAUAUCAAAAGUCUCUUCAUCUUUCUUUCUCUUUUCUUUUCCCACAAAAGUUUGUUUUGGGUUUUGAUUGCUGAAUUUUGACUGCCUAUCAUCCUUUGAACCAGUGGAAAGAAUCUGAGUGAUCACCUAAAAAUCGUGAGCUAAACACUUUGAGAGUGUGAGGAUUUUUAUUUGCUAACUCUUUUGUUAAGUGUUUUCAGGAUGUAUGGACUUCACAAGAAAUCAAAUCAGGCUUCAAAACUACAACAAGAUGAUUAUUAUCCUUUUAAAACCGUGCUUGAAAAAAAGCAAUUGAUUUUUGGAGAUAAGAAACAUUUUUCUUCUAAUGGGUUUGAUUCUGUGCAGAAACAAAGAAACCAAAGAAAGAGGCAAAACAUGUUCGAUGAUGAUGAGAAGAGGGUCAGAAGUGGUGAUCAUCCCUUCACCAAAGCCAAGAGAAGCAACCGUGAUGUGCCUGAUCAGAACGAGCUUCAGACUUAUGCCAGCUUGGAAAAGAUGUUGCAUAAGGUGAUUCAUGUUGUCCGACAACUCAAAAAGAAGGGAAAUACAAACACUUUUUCUGCACCAAAACAACAGAGUAAUUCUUCUUCUCUUUCAAAUUCUGAUUUGAAAACUAAUGUGUUGUCUUCUGAUAAAAUCAUGGCUGUGAAAACCACAAGAAAGGCUCUUUCUACCAGGUGCUUCAAAUGCCAUAGGGUAGGUCAUUAUGCCAACAAGUGCCAAAAACAGAAAUCGUUGGUGACUUUGGAGAAAGUUGAAACCGAGCCAGAAAAGGAAGACCUUUUACCAAUUUUCGAUGACUAUGCACAUGAACCGAAGAAAGGGUCAGGUGGAGAGCAAAAUUGUGGUCAUAAAGAAGGAUCUUCUUCCAUUCACAAACUGGACCGAACUCAAGGUGAGCAACGUUCUGAUUAUGGUUCUUUUGCUUAUAAUCCUUUUCCUUUCAGAUUUGAGGACAAAUAUUUUUGAAGAGGAAGGGAAUGAUGUGCCGCAGUCCACGGAUCAUUUCAUGGAACCAGCUCAGCAUGGAGUUCAGGACGUUCUGAACAUUUCAACCGAGGUUCAUGUUUUUCACUCUGCCAGACUUGAGAAAGAUCAUGCCAGACUUGAGAAAGAUCAUCCCAGACUUGAGAAAGAUCAUGCCAGACUUGACUUGGAUCAUGAGGUUUCACAAAAUGAUCGAGACUUCUCUCUUUUGGCUCGAUUGGCUCAUACUGCACGUACCAGUGACCGUACUGAUGGACUGAUCGACCCUUUUGAUCAGUUCAUGCACUUUUAUCAGCCAAAUCUCACUAAGGCAAGGAUCCUUCACCUUUCUGAAGACAUAGGACGCACUUGAUUCAACCGUCACCAUCGCAACUUUCGUACGUUAAAAAAAUUACGUCUUCAAAUAAGUUUUCUGUAUGUAAGAAUGCAACUUAUGCAACUUAUGGUUAGUUUUCAGUUUGCCAUGUCACUAAAUAGAGAGAGGAGAGAACGACACAUGUCCCUUACAUCACAACUCCGUGUUUCAUUUAAAAAAAAGAAGGGAAUUUGUGGGCUUCCGUUAAUAAUAGGAAUUAAGCCCAAGACCUGAGAAGCCCUCUUCCUUACUUUCACGCUGCAACUAGGGUUUGUGUUCUUCCGUCAAUGGCGUCUCGAGAGAUUGGAAUCUAGAUGACUGAAAUUGAGUUAUCAAUGGAAUUUCAUUGCGUCCUUUCGUACCCGAAUCUUCAUGAGGAAUCCCCCAUGGUCGAGUUUCGUUUCGCGUCAUUUCGUAUGAAGUUAUUCUCCUCUGAAAUUGCUAUUAACAACCAUCUUUACUUCUUCGACCACAAAAAAUGUGAUUCAUUGCUGCCUAUCUCUCUGGAGGUGGUGGAUAACACCUAUAAAAGGUCAACUUUCGUCCACUUAACAUCAUCUUCACAACUCUUAACAACUAUAAACUUAUUAUCAUGUUGUUGGGUGUUGACUUUUGAAUGAUUUUGGGAAGCAGAGAAUCGAUCUCUCUUUUUACCUGUUAAAUCGUUUUAAUGAUGGUGAUUUACAGGUGAAAGGGCCUGAGCCAUAAUGAGACCAUCGUAUCUGACUCUAUCGGAUUGUCCGACUCGGACAGAUCUUCCGAGCAUCUCACGGUUUCGGUGACUCUUGCUUGGCUCAACAAUAGUGGCAAUGAAGAUGGCGGUUCUUGCUUGGCUCAACGGAGGGGAUUGGACCCUGUGGUUUGAGCAGGAAUAGAUAAUACUAGCUUUGAUUUAUGAAGAUUCACUGGAAUAGAUAAUUCAACAUUUCGUUCACUUGGAAGAGAUAGAGCUCCUUUGGUGAGAUGCCUUCCAAUGUAAGUGUUAAUGACGACAUUGAUAUGGUUUAUGUAUCCUGUUUUGGUGAAGAUUGUAUGUGUCUACUGUAUUCAUCACUUGUCUAUGUUUUUCUGCAGAUUUGUUUGUUUCCUCAAAUACCAGUGCCUCACCCAAUUCAGUCUCGCCUCCGCAGACAGUGGUCCCGCCUCUCUUUCAUUUAUGGAAGCAAGAGAUAUGAAGAAAGGAGAGCUAAUGGAGUUGACAACUUGACAUACUCUUGAAUGAUGAAAAGUCGACGCUCCUCCAGGGCACCACUUCAAACUUUCAGAUUCAACCGUCACCAUCGCAACUUUCGUAAGUUAAAAAAAUUGCUAAUUACGUCUUCAAAUAAGUUUUCUGUAUGUAAUAAUGCAACUUAUGGUUAGGUUCUUGAUGGUAAGCCAUACAACAUAAGUUGCGAUGCUUACAGCUUUGUGAUGUGCAUCAGUGCCUAUACCUUAUCGUGAUCUCAGUUUGGUUUAUGUUUCUUCUACUGUUGUCCGUCAAGUAAGUGACACUUAAUAUACAUCAGUAAUUUUGCAUUUGAAAAAAAAUCAAUAAAGAUGAUCAUGGUUUGUAUAUUUGGCUUUUACGGGGAUUUAAAGAUUUUCGGAUGGUGAUUUUUGAUUUGAAGGUGGAUUUUCGGCAAUUAGAUCUAUGGUCCUCUUUGUCGAAAGUUAUAUGCCCAAGUUUAUGAAGAAGAUGAAUUUACAUGUUUUUUUUGUGGUUGACUUUUAUCGAUUUAAUAUAUAAACUGAAACCAAGUCCUAAACCAUUUGUAAUUCAUUUUAGUUUCUUUUCUGAUUAAUUGAUGUCAUAUUGGAUUGUAUUCAGGUUGGUAUUGGAAUUGGAUUUGGAUUCGGUUUCAAACCGGAUUUACUUGAAAUAACAUUAUAACUCAGAUUAUCUGUAUAUUGAAAAAAUGAUAGUUAAUAUUGUAUUUGUAAAUAUAUGCAUAUAAAUUUAAAUAAAAUAAUAUAUAUUUUUAAUUAAAUCAGGUUUAGUAUGGUUACAUUACACUAGCAAUAAAUUAAAAUAAAAAUAUAUAUUUUUUGUUAAUUAAAUUCGGUUUAGUAUGGUUACACUAUGCUAGCAAAUGUCCUAGCAGAAGCUAACUCGACAAUAACAUAAACAUAUACCCACUAAUGAUUAACUCAUCGACAAUAACAUCAACAUAUACUCACAAAAUAUAAUAAUGUUCUGUAGUAAAGAAUUUGCGUCGGCCAAAAAUAUUGAAUAAACUUGGAUAUAAACUAAAAAAACGAGGUUCACAAUUUAUUUUUGCCAUGGUGAUUAGUCUCUGCUUAUUAUUUGUUCUUCACUACUUAGUUGAGUUCUCUUCAGUUUUUUUUUGGAAGCUUUAUAACCAACUAGGGAUUUUUCCGGGCUACGCCCGGGGUAUGCGUAUAAGUUUUAGUUAAAUUAAAAAAUUUACACUUAUAUUUUAAUAUAAAUUGUUUAUAUAUAUUACAAUCAAUUUUUCAACUAUUAAAUUGGUAGAAAAAUUAAAUAGAUUUAUAUUUAUUCAUUGCUUUGUAUCUAAAAAAAUUCAAUAACUCACCAUUUGGUUUUGGUUAUUACUGGAAAUCAUAUAUAAAAUGAUAAAUAAGAUGAGUAAAAGUUAACUAAACCUAGUUAUGGGUUAAAAUAAAUUUUAUCUUAUUUAUUGAGGUGUAUAAAACAAUUGUAAAUUUUACAGCUGAUUUAAACUUUGUUUUAACUACAUACGAUGUAUCCAUGAUAAUAAUUUGAUCCAAACGUAAAGAUAAUAUUAUUUUCCACACCAGUUCAUGAAAACACACUACAAAUAAAAAUAUAACUGUCCAAACCAGUUUAUAAUACAAUUUUAAUCAAACCAUCACCAAAAAAUUAUAUUUAAAUCAUAUAAACCAAUAAUGACUUUCUAAAUUAAGAAUUCUUAUUUCGUCCCAAAGAUAUUAGUCUUUACUUUUAUGUUGGGUUGUAGCUUUGAUGACUUAUUUUAAAGUUAUAAUAUGGUGUUUAAGAAAGUUAUAUAUGGUGAUGAUUUAAUUUCAUAUUUUCACAAUUUGUAAAUUACAUAUGAAGAUUGUUACUAAAUGAAUAUAAUGUGAAGAGUGGUGCUCUUGGUCUAAGUCUUUAAAUAACUCUCUAUGAUGUGUUUGAGUAUCCAUUCUACACUUUUUCAUCAUAAUUGUUACCAAUGAACUGAACAUAUAUAGCUUUAUGACAUAUGCGGUUCAAUUGAACUGAACAAACACAAAAAGACACAAAAUUAAACUGAACCAAACACAAACCAAACCAAACCAAACCGGACACAAACCAAACUAAACCAAACACAAACCAAACUAAUUUGGAUUAAUUUUGGUUAAAGCUUUC